UACGUAGGCAGCGAGCGUUGUUCGGAGUUACUGGGCGUAAAGGGUGUGUAGGCGGUUCUUUAAGUUUGGUGUGAAAUCUCCCGGCUCAACCGGGAGGGUGCGCCGAAUACUGAGGGACUAGAGUACGGGAGAGGAAAGUGGAAUUCCUGGUGUAGCGGUGAAAUGCGUAGAUAUCAGGAGGAACACCGGUGGUGUAGACGGCUUUCUGGACCGUAACUGACGCUGAGGAGCGAAAGCGUGGGGAGCGAACAGG
rnacentral:rRNA from 1 species